rnacentral:misc_RNA from 1 species
GAUGAAGAACGUAGCGAAAUGCGAUAAAUAAUGUGAAUUGCAGAAUUCAGUGAAUCAUCGAGUCUUUGAACGCACAUUGCGCCCCCUGGUAUUCCGGGGGGCAUGCCUGUCCGAGCGUCAUUGCUGCCCUCAAGCACGGCUUGUGUGUUGGGCUCCGUCCCCCCGGGGACGGGCCCGAAAGGCAGCGGCGGCACCGAGUCCGGUCCUCGAGCGUAUGGGGCUUUGUCACCCGCUCUGUAGGCCCGGCCGGCGCCAGCCGACAACCCAUCAUCCUUUUCAGGUUGACCUCGGAUCAGGUAGGGAUACCCGCUGAACUUAAGCAUAUCAAUAAGCGGAGGA